GAAUUAUUUGGAAAAUUUCUGAGCAUCCAAACCCUUCGCAGCAGAUUUGAAUAACAGAAUUCUGAGCAACAAGUUCAUUUUGACCCUCUGGGCUAAAAAAGUUAUAAUUAGCGCCGGCACCAUAAAACUGGCUUUUAAUUAAAUCAGCCUCGGAAGAGAGGGAGCUCUGCAAGGUCCCUCCCUCGCUUACAUAAGGCAGCCGGCCUGAGCGGCCACUGUGGGGAUGCUGUGGCACUCUCAGCCUUCUGCAGGAUUUUCCAGAGAGGAAAAAUGAGAAUUGGGAAGUGGGGAGCCCACGGCCAGCCCCAGAUCUCACCCAGCCGUGGGGCAAGGAGUGAUCAUCGCCGCUUGAGCUGCACAGAGGGUUUGUGUGGGGGUGACAAAAGGCCAUGGCAGGAACACCAACACCCAACUCAUCGUGCCAGACCUGGAGACAGAAACCUGGAAAAAUUCCAAACACGGAGGACACGAAACUCCAUGGACCAUGGGAAUGCAUUCAUCUCCAGGAAAGCACCCAGAGGAUGAUGGACACCCCUCAAAGCCUGCUUGGAUAAAAGGAAAAAAAGCUUUUCAUCCCAGUGCUGAGCCAGAGAGAACUUGUUGAAGCUGGGUGGCAGUGGGAGGGCAUCAGCACUGGAGCCAAACCUGGAGCAGCCACAACAGCAGCCAGCCAACUGUGGGCGGGAAGCAUCGCCUCCAGAAAUCAAACCCACUGCUAUCCCCAAAACAGCUUGGAGAUCCAAGGGUGGGGAUCCCCCCCAAUCAGGCUUUUCCCUGGCAUGGUUUUGGGGGGAUAUUGGAGUUAAGGCUCAGACCCACCUCAGCAGGCACAAGCCCACCUCUAAACCAGUGUGGGCUGCUCGAACUGUGAUGCUGGAAAAGCCAACAGAGACAAUCUUAACCACGCCAGCCUCUUUCCAUGCCCUUGUCCCUUCUCCAGGGGAACAAUCACUGCUGAGGAUCUUUGCCAAAAUUAGUUUCUUUAAGAUCUGAGGGAUCUUCCUGCUGCUGCACCGAGCAGUGGGAGUGAGCCCAUAAAUCCAGUUAGUCACAGUCGCUGGAUUACAUCGGACCUUGUCCUUCUGCCUUUAAUAACACAAUUGUUUGCUGCAUAAGGAGCUUUAUGUAACUGGGAAUCAGGGGUGAUCCGCAGCACUGCCCAGGCUGGAGCUGUCAGCCCUCCCUCCUCUCUGGGCUCGUCUGAACCUCCUGCUGCCAGGCAGUAUCUGAGAAAUAAAUGACCUCCUUGCUGUGGCA
rnacentral:lncRNA from 1 species